UUUCAAUAGCAAAUGUUUGCAGAUCCAUUUCUCUUCCAUCUUUCUAGAACAUCAGCCUUUGUUUAAACAAAAAAUUUCAAUUCAUUCAUCCUUACCACAAAGACUUACUCAAACAUGAUUCUAAAGCUUAAUUUCUUCCGGCUCUCUUCUUUCAACAACCAUUAAUCAAUUUGCAACUCAAAACUUCAGGUGUAGGAACCGGCAGAAAAAUGGUGUAGGUGUAGGAACCGGCAG